GGAGCAAAACUCUAAAACCGGUACCCAGUUCGGAUUGCAGGCUGCAACUCGCCUGCAUGAAGUUGGAGUUGCUAGUAAUCGCGGAUCAGAAUGCCGCGGUGAAUGCGUUCCCGGGUCUUGUACACACCGCCCGUCACACCAUGGAAGUUGGGGGCGCCCGAAGUUGGUCAAGAAGAGAUUACCUAAGGCGAAACCAAUGACUGGGGUGAAGUCGUAACAAGGUACC
rnacentral:rRNA from 1 species